rnacentral:rRNA from 1 species
AGAGUUUGAUCAUGGCUCAGGACGAACGCUGGCGGCGUGCCUAAUACAUGCAAGUCGAGCGAAUCUGAGGGAGCUUGCUCCCAAAGGUUAGCGGCGGACGGGUGAGUAACACGUGGGCAACCUGCCUGUAAGACUGGGAUAACUUCGGGAAACCGGAGCUAAUACCGGAUAAUUCUUUUCUACACAUGUAGAAAAGCUGAAAGAUGGCUUCGGCUAUCACUUACAGAUGGGCCCGCGGCGCAUUAGCUAGUUGGUGAGGUAACGGCUCACCAAGGCGACGAUGCGUAGCCGACCUGAGAGGGUGAUCGGCCACACUGGGACUGAGACACGGCCCAGACUCCUACGGGAGGCAGCAGUAGGGAAUCUUCCGCAAUGGACGAAAGUCUGACGGAGCAACGCCGCGUGAGUGAUGAAGGUUUUCGGAUCGUAAAACUCUGUUGUUAGGGAAGAACAAGUACCGGAGUAACUGCCGGUGCCUUGACGGUACCUAACCAGAAAGCCACGGCUAACUACGUGCCAGCAGCCGCGGUAAUACGUAGGUGGCAAGCGUUGUCCGGAAUUAUUGGGCGUAAAGCGCGCGCAGGCGGUUCCUUAAGUCUGAUGUGAAAGCCCCCGGCUCAACCGGGGAGGGUCAUUGGAAACUGGGGAACUUGAGUGCAGAAGAGGAGAGUGGAAUUCCACGUGUAGCGGUGAAAUGCGUAGAGAUGUGGAGGAACACCAGUGGCGAAGGCGACUCUCUGGUCUGUAACUGACGCUGAGGUGCGAAAGCGUGGGGAGCGAACAGGAUUAGAUACCCUGGUAGU